rnacentral:rRNA from 1 species
GGGGGUAAAUUUAAUAAUUAUAAAAACUAAUAAAAAAAAAUUUAUUAUUAAAAAUAUAUAAUGGGGGUUAAAGUAUUUUUAAUAGAAAAAAUUUAUAAAUUUAUAGUUUAAUAGUAUUGUAAAAGAAAAUUUAAAUAAAUGAAAAAUAAAAUUUUAAUAAAAGUAAAUUUAAUUUAUUGUAUCUUGUGUAUCAGAGUUUAUUAAAUAAAAAUUUUUGUAUAAAAAAUUCUCGAAUUUAAAAGAGUUAAUUAAUUAAAAAAGUUACUGUUGAAUAAUUAUUUUUAAUAGUUAAUUGGAAAUGAAAUGUUAAUCGUUUUUAAAUAUAUCUAGUUUUUUUAGAAAAAAAUUUAAUUUUAAAUUUAAAUAAUUUUAUAAUUAAUUAAAUAAUUAUAAAAAUUUGAAAUUUAAUAUUUUAGGGGAUAAGCUUUAAAUUAAAAAAUUAUAAUUAUUUAAAAUAAAUUGAAAUUUUUAAUAUUUAUAUUGUUUAUAAAUUAUAAUUUAUUAUAAAAAAUUUCAAUUCAAUUAAAAUUUAAAUAUAAAUUUAAUUUUUUAUAAAAAAAUUAUUUUUAAUAAUUAAAAAUUAGAAAUAAUGAUAAAAUUAGUAUAAUAUAAUAAAAAAAAAUAAAAUUAUUAAAAAUUAAAUUAAAGGAAUUCGGCAAAAAUUUAUAUUCACUUGUUUAUCAAAAACAUGUCUUUUUGAUUAAUAAUUUAAAGUCUAAUCUGCCCACUGAUAUUUAUUAAAGGGCUGCAGUAUAUUGACUGUACAAAGGGAGCAUAAUCAUUAGUCUUUUAAUUGGAGACUUGUAUGAAAGAUUUGAUGAAAUAUAAACUGUCUCUAUUUUAUUAGUAAAAGUUAAUAUUUUAGUUAAAAAGCUAAAAUAAAAUUAAAAGACGAGAAGACCCUAUAGAGUUUUAUAUUUAAUUUUAUUAUAAUAAAAUAUAUAAUUAAUUAUUAUAAUAAAAUUAAGUAUUUCAUUGGGGUGAUGAAAAAAUUUAAUAAACUUUUUUUUUUUAUUAACAUAAAUAAAUGAUUAAAUGAUCCAUAAUUUUAUGAUUAUAAGAAAAAAUUACCUUAGGGAUAACAGCGUAAUAUUUUUUUUUAGUACAAAUAAAAAAAAAAGUUUGCGACCUCGAUGUUGGAUUAAGAUAAAAAUUAAAUGCAAAAGUUUAAAAUUUUUGAUCUGUUCGAUCAUUAAAAUCUUACAUGAUCUGAGUUCAAACCGGUGUAAGCCAGGUUGGUUUCUAUCUUUAAUGAGUUAUAAUAUUUUA